rnacentral:rRNA from 1 species
GGUAACGCGUGAGAAUUCGCCUUUAGGAGGGGGAUAACGGAUGGAAACAUUCGCUAAAACCCCAUGUGCCCUCGGGUGAAAAAGAGAAAGUAAGUCAUACUGAUUUAUCUCUGCCUGAAGAGAAGCUCGCGGCUGAUUAGCUAGUUGGUAGGGUAAAGGCCUACCAAGGCGACGAUCAGUAGCUGGUCUGAGAGGACGAUCAGCCACACUGGAACUGAGACACGGUCCAGACUCCUACGGGAGGCAGCAGUGAGGAAUUUUCUGCAAUGGGCGAAAGCCUGACAGAGCAAUACCGCGUGGGGGAUGAAGACUUACUGAGUUGUAAACCUCGGUACCCUAAGGAAGAAGAUAUGACGGUACUUAGGGUGGAAAGCAUCGGCUAACUCCGUGCCAGCAGCCGCGGUAAGACGGGGGAUGCAAGUGUUAUCCGGAUUUACUGGGCGUAAAGCGUCUGCAGGUGGUUUCUUAAGUCUACUGUUAAAUCUUGAGGCUCAACCUCAAAUCUGCAGUAGAAACUAGGAGACUUGAGUAUAGUAGGGGUAGAGGGAAUUUCCAGUGGAGCGGUGAAAUGCGUAGAUAUUGGAAAGAACACCGAUGGCGAAGGCACUCUACUGGGCUAUUACUGACACUCAGAGACGAAAGCUAGGGGAGCAAAUGGGAUWASAUACC